rnacentral:lncRNA from 1 species
AAUUUUAAAACUUUUUCAAAAUUAUUAUUUUAUAGUGAAAUUAUUAAUUAAUCUUAUUAAUUAAUACUAAUUAACCCUACACUAGGAUCUAAAUAUGAUACAACAGCAUGCAUUUAAAUUUGAAAUUCAAAUUUGAAUCAGUAAACCUUUUACAGUAUUGUGUUCAGAACACAUCACCUUUUGCGGGUAGUCGAUCACUGCAAUCU